AACGUAGGAGACAAGCGUUAUCCGGAGUUACUGGGCGUAAAGGGCGUGUAGGUGGUUCUGUAAGUCUGGCGUGAAAUUUUUCGGCUUAACCGGGAAAGGUCGUCGGAUACUGCAGGGCUAGAGGACGGUAGAGGCGUGUGGAAUUCCGGGUGUAGUGGUGAAAUGCGUAGAGAUCCGGAGGAACACCAGUGGCGAAGGCGACACGCUGGGCCGUACCUGACACUGAUGCGCGACAGCAUGGGGAGCAAACAGG
rnacentral:rRNA from 1 species